rnacentral:rRNA from 1 species
AGUGAACGCUGGCGGUAGGCCUAAUACAUGCAAGUCGAACGGAAGCACAGUAAGCGCUUGCCCUUACGGGUGGCGAGUGGCGGGCGGGUGAGGAAUAGAUCGGAAUCUACUUUUUCGUGGGGGAUUACGGAGGGCCACUGACGCUAAUACCGCAUACGACCUACGGGUGAAUUCAGUGGAUCUUCGGAGCUUGCGUGUCUCAUUGAGCCGAUGCCGCAUUAGCUAGUUGGCGUGGUAAGGGCUCACCAAGGCAACGAUGCGUAGCUGAUCUGAGAGGAUGAUCGGCCACACUGGAACUGAGACACGGUCCAGACUCCUACGGGAGGCAGCAGUAGGGAAUAUUCCGCAAUGGGCGCAAGCCUGACGGAGCCACGCCGCGUGAGUGAUGAAGGUCUUCGGAUCGUAAAACUCUGUUAUUAGGGAAGAACAACUGUGUAAGUAACUAUGGACGUCUUGACGGUACCUAAACAGAAAGCAACGGCUAACUACGUG